rnacentral:tmRNA from 1 species
GGGGUUGUCAUGGUUUCGACAGGCCGGUAGAAGGUGGAGAAGCUAUCGGAAGCCCGGGACUUCCUUAAAACUCGGAAUUAAAAAUAAACGCUGAAGAUAAUUUAGCAUACGCUGCCUAGUAGGCAGUUGUCGGACUGAGCGGACCUGCACGUUCUGACCCCGGCAUCGACUCAGCAGGAAACGAUGCGUUCAAAGCUUUGAGAAUGUAGGCGUAUUAUGAAGCUACUAAAGCGUUAAGGCUGUUUUUGGCCGUGACGCGGAGGGAAUGUCAAAACAAAAACUAUGAUAGUAGAAGUACGGUGGAAAUCGGUUUGGACACGGGUUCGACUCCCGUCAGCUCCAUAG